rnacentral:rRNA from 1 species
GCGAUACAGGGUGACAGCCCCGUACACAAAAAUGCACAUGCUGUGAGCUCGAUGAGUAGGGCGGGACACGUGGUAUCCUGUCUGAAUAUGGGGGGACCAUCCUCCAAGGCUAAAUACUCCUGACUGACCGAUAGUGAACCAGUACCGUGAGGGAAAGGCGAAAAGAACCCCGGCGAGGGGAGUGAAAAAGAACCUGAAACCGUGUACGUACAAGCAGUGGGAGCACAGAGCAAUCUGUGUGACUGCGUACCUUUUGUAUAAUGGGUCAGCGACUUAUAUUCUGUAGCAAGGUUAACCGAAUAGGGGAGCCGAAGGGAAACCGAGUCUUAACUGGGCGUUAAGUUGCAGGGUAUAGACCCGAAACCCGGUGAUCUAGCCAUGGGCAGGUUGAAGGUUGGGUAACACUAACUGGAGGACCGAACCGACUAAUGUUGAAAAAUUAGCGGAUGACUUGUGGCUGGGGGUGAAAGGCCAAUCAAACCGGGAGAUAGCUGGUUCUCCCCGAAAGCUAUUUAGGUAGCGCCUCGUGAAUUCAUCUCCGGGGGUAGAGCACUGUUUCGGCAAGGGGGUCAUCCCGACUUACCAACCCGAUGCAAACUGCGAAUACCGGAGAAUGUUAUCACGGGAGACACACGGCGGGUGCUAACGUCCGUCGUGAAGAGGGAAACAACCCAGACCGCCAGCUAAGGUCCCAAAGUCAUGGUUAAGUGGGAAACGAUGUGGGAAGGCCCAGACAGCCAGGAUGUUGGCUUAGAAGCAGCCAUCAUUUAAAGAAAGCGUAAUAGCUCACUGGUCGAGUCGGCCUGCGCGGAAGAUGUAACGGGGCUAAACCAUGCACCGAAGCUGCGGCAGCGACGCUUAUGCGUUGUUGGGUAGGGGAGCGUUCUGUAAGCCUGCGAAGGUGUGCUGUGAGGCAUGCUGGAGGUAUCAGAAGUGCGAAUGCUGACAUAAGUAACGAUAAAGCGGGUGAAAAGCCCGCUCGCCGGAAGACCAAGGGUUCCUGUCCAACGUUAAUCGGGGCAGGGUGAGUCGACCCCUAAGG